rnacentral:rRNA from 1 species
GAUGGAGGGGGAUAACUACUGGAAACGGUGGCUAAUACCGCAUAACGUCGCAAGACCAAAGAGGGGGACCUUCGGGCCUCUUGCCAUCAGAUGUGCCCAGAUGGGAUUAGCUUGUUGGUGAGGUAACGGCUCACCAAGGCGACGAUCCCUAGCUGGUCUGAGAGGAUGACCAGCCACACUGGAACUGAGACACGGUCCAGACUCCUACGGGAGGCAGCAGUGGGGAAUAUUGCACAAUGGGCGCAAGCCUGAUGCAGCCAUGCCGCGUGUAUGAAGAAGGCCUUCGGGUUGUAAAGUACUUUCAGCGGGGAGGAAGGUGUUGUGGUUAAUAACCGCAGCAAUUGACGUUACCCGCAGAAGAAGCACCGGCUAACUCCGUGCCAGCAGCCGCGGUAAUACGGAGGGUGCAAGCGUUAAUCGGAAUUACUGGGCGUAAAGCGCACGCAGGCGGUCUGUCAAGUCGGAUGUGAAAUCCCCGGGCUCAACCUGGGAACUGCAUUCGAAACUGGCAGGCUUGAGUCUUGUAGAGGGGGGUAGAAUUCCAGGUGUAGCGGUGAAAUGCGUAGAGAUCUGGAGGAAUACCGGUGGCGAAGGCGGCCCCCUGGACAAAGACUGACGCUCAGGUGCGAAAGCGUGGGGAGCAAACAGGAUUAGAUACCCUGGUAGUCCACGCCGUAAACGAUGUCUACUUGGAGGUUGUGCCCUUGAGGCGUGGCUUCCGGAGCUAACGCGUUAAGUAGACCGCCUGGGGAGUACGGCCGCAAGGUUAAAACUCAAAUGAAUUGACGGGGGCCCGCACAAGCGGUGGAGCAUGUGGUUUAAUUCGAUGCAACGCGAAGAACCUUACCUGGUCUUGACAUCCACAGAAGAAUCCAGAGAUGGAUUUGUGCCUUCGGGAACUGUGAGACAGGUGCUGCAUGGCUGUCGUCAGCUCGUGUUGUGAAAUGUUGGGUUAAGUCCCGCAACGAGCGCAAC